GCCUUGCUCUGUUUGCAAUUCAGUGGGACCUCGCACUACACAGCUCCAACUUCCUGCAGUGAUCAGAGCCCUGCAAGCAGGGGGCAGGGGGCCAAGGUAUUGGAGGACUCCCUCCCAGCUCUAGAAGCCUCUUUCAUGCGUGUGCGCGUGUGUGUGUGUGUGUGUGUGUGUGUGUGUGUAUGUAUGUAUGUAAGGGGGCCAAGGUAAUGGUGGACUCCAUCCCAGCUCU